UGGGGAAUCUUGCACAAUGGGCGCAAGCCUGAUGCAGCAACGCCGCGUGCGGGAAGACGGCCCUAGGGUUGUAAACCGCUUUCAGGAGGGAAGAAAAUGACGGUACCUCCAGAAGAAGGUGCGGCCAACUACGUGCCAGCAGCCGCGUGACACGUAGGCACCAAGCGUUAUCCGGAUUUAUUGGGCGUAAAGAGCUCGUAGGCGGUUCGGUAAGUCGGGUGUGAAAACUCUGGGCUCAACCCAGAGAGGCCACUCGAUACUGCUGUGACUAGAGUGCGGUAGGGGAGCGGGGAAUUCCUGGUGUAGCGGUGAAAUGCGCAGAUAUCAGGAGGAACACCAGUGGCGAAGGCGCCGCUCUGGGCCGUAACUGACGCUGAGGAGCGAAAGCAUGGGUAGCAAAGCAGGAUUAGAUACCCUGGUAGUCCAUGCCGUAAACGUUGGGCACUAGGUGUGGGUCUCAACCAACGAGAUCCGCGCCGUCGCUAACGCAUUAAGUGCCCCGCCUGGGGAGUACGGUCGCAAGACUAAAACUCAAAGGAAUU
rnacentral:rRNA from 1 species